AGUCGAGCGGACAGAUGGGAGCUUGCUCCCUGAUGUUAGCGGCGGACGGGUGAGUAACACGUGGGUAACCUGCCUGUAAGACUGGGAUAACUCCGGGAAACCGGGGCUAAUACCGGAUGGUUGUCUGAACCGCAUGGUUCAGACAUAAAAGGUGGCUUCGGCUACCACUUACAGAUGGACCCGCGGCGCAUUAGCUAGUUGGUGAGGUAACGGCUCACCAAGGCGACGAUGCGUAGCCGACCUGAGAGGGUGAUCGGCCACACUGGGACUGAGACACGGCCCAGACUCCUACGGGAGGCAGCAGUAGGGAAUCUUCCGCAAUGGACGAAAGUCUGACGGAGCAACGCCGCGUGAGUGAUGAAGGUUUUCGGAUCGUAAAGCUCUGUUGUUAGGGAAGAACAAGUGCCGUUCAAAUAGGGCGGCACCUUGACGGUACCUAACCAGAAAGCCACGGCUAACUACGUGCCAGCAGCCGCGGUAAUACGUAGGUGGCAAGCGUUGUCCGGAAUUAUUGGGCGUAAAGGGCUCGCAGGCGGUUUCUUAAGUCUGAUGUGAAAGCCCCCGGCUCAACCGGGGAGGGUCAUUGGAAACUGGGGAACUUGAGUGCAGAAGAGGAGAGUGGAAUUCCACGUGUAGCGGUGAAAUGCGUAGAGAUGUGGAGGAACACCAGUGGCGAAGGCGACUCUCUGGUCUGUAACUGACGCUGAGGAGCGAAAGCGUGGGGAGCGAACAGGAUUAGAUACCCUGGUAGUCCACGCCGUACACGAUGAGUGCUAAGUGUUAGGGGGUUUCCGCCCCUU
rnacentral:rRNA from 1 species